rfam:Verticillium dahliae VdLs.17 supercont1.3 genomic scaffold, whole genome shotgun sequence.
CUUUCGACACCACUCCACGCACGACGCCUCCUCCACAGUCCUCCGGCUCGUCUUUUCCGAAAGGAAUGUCUUUCAUAGACCCCUCGACAAGGGCUGGGAGGCCCCAGUACGCCGCUCACGACUCUGCAACAGGGCUUCGUGCUUGCUGUGAUUGGAUCCACUGGGACCUCGAGUCGUCAGUAUCAGACGACCCAGUCCGGCUGAGGGAAGACGGGUCGGAACUUAACCCUAAGCAUCACCUUGGUUUUCAGUUUGCGCCCACGGCCGUUCAAGUCGCCUUGUAUGUCUGCUAUGCUCGUCUGCGGAGACUGCCACUGAAAAGUGGCGUCUUUGUCCGGGGCUAUGUAGGCGGACCGGCGAGGAGAGCACUCCAGUCAUCAUCACCUGAUGCGCGAGAAGUUGGCUCUAUGAGUCUGUGCGGUGAGAGCCUCUGGUCCGAGGCCGCUCGUCAGGACCAACUGCUGGAACUAGAGCCUUGACCAAUAACAGACUGCUCGGAUGAGGUGCGCCUAUUUGCUCGUAGGGAGAUGACCGCUCUCGUCUGGCGCUCUGGAGCCUGAUUCGGCCCUACAGCGGCUCGGAAUCGCGGGAGAGACUGCAGUGAGGGAGAUCUUGGCAACGCCGUCAAACGGUCAGAUGAGCGUUUCCUUCGACUUGUGCACACCUUCCGCGACCCUUCUCGCAGCCCAAGGGCCGAGAUGGGGGAAGGGACUCAAGCGGCAAACUGAAACGACCCGUCUGACUUGACGAUGGCGAGGCAAACAGCUCUACGUACCCUCGCUAUCUCACCGCACUCUUGACACCACAACAGACUUGAUCUCAUCCAACCCACGAGCAAACGUUCGCCUUGCCGGGCCACAUCCGGGCUAUGGCUUGGGCGUGUCAUUACAUCCAUAUGAGUCUGGUCAGGCGCAUUAACCUGAUCCCGUGGGUCUUGUCCCACGGCGUUGACGGACGCCAAAUUCGUGCGGUCUUCUUCUGGAGAACGCAAUAUUCCCACUGUCUACCUCGUGGACAGCUUUGGACGAUAGCGCGGUUUUUGAGAAUGUCUUUUGUCCGCGCGCAAUGCCCUCCACCGCCUCGUCUUCGACCUGUCACGGAGAGGAAACAAAAACGAGUCCUUGUUGGCAGUGCGAAACAUACAGAAAGAACUUUGCACGACCACAUCUGAUGGAUUCUCCUGCCCUCUGAAGCCGCCGAUCGUCAUGCAACAUUGUCGAAAUGACAGUCUUGGUUUAGUUGUGGAGGCUGCAUACGCUUCUCGACGCUCGCGUCUGGGCAAGUAGCGAUUGAGAGGUGGGCGACGUCAGACUGGGACCCAUCUUGAGUUGGUGUCAAAGUUCCGCGCUUGUCCGGCCUGGUGGCGGCUGCCUCGGAUGUACUAUUCUGCCCAAGCGAGAGCUCGAGUCAAUCCCCUUGGACCCCGUUGUGGGUGGACAGGCCUAAUUGGAGGGCAGUCCAGGUUGUCGUCGCUCCAGUAAUGGCGAGACGGCAACCCCCUCGAUGCAGG